UCUCUGCUCCCUUCUCCCUCCUCCUGUCCUUCUAGGAGACGGCUUUUUGAGCAUAGCCGGUUUCCUGCACUCUUUCACAGGGGAACCGGCUAUUUCACAGGAGACUGCCAAUUACACAAUUUCUGUGAAACUGUGCAUUUGAGUCGGUGGCCAAAUCCUACUCCCAAUGAAGUGAGUUGCAUUUUCUCAGCCUUGCUCAGAAGUUGGGUCCAUGUGAUCAUUUCAAGGUCAAAAUGCAGGGUCCUGAAGAACUAAUCCUUUCAAGCAGCCCUACCACUGUAAUGAAGAAGAAUUCCUCAUGUGAAAAAUGCAGAAGUGGACCUUGGAAGUUAUGGGAAUGAGAUAGUGGAUUAGAGUGUCAAUCUCAGGUUGGUUUUCGCCUACUCAGUUGGUGAUGCAUUUUGACAACUAUUUGCAACAAGGUGAACUAAAGUUUUAUACUUUCAGAAAUAACCAUGAGAAAAGAAUUUAAGACAGAAGUGCCUUCCUGCUGCCCCAUCCCUCCAUGCAACAACAAAAAAUUAACUGAUUCUCGGUGUGCUGCCAUUAUAUCACUGUGCCAUGCUCGUGUGACUUUGAAUCAUUAAAUGCUCAUCCUUC